rnacentral:tRNA from 1 species
CCAGGUCCAUUGGCUUCAGAUCCAGUCUAAGUUUAAGCCCUAGCUUUCCUCUUUUCUAAUCGCGGCGAUCUGGU